rnacentral:rRNA from 1 species
UCAGGCCUAACACAUGCAAGUCGAGCGAGGUAGCGAUACCUAGCGGCGGACGGGUGAGUAACGCGUGGGAACGUACCCUUUGGUUCGGAAUAGCCCUGGGAAACUGGGAGUAAUACCGGAUACGGUCGAGAGACGAAAGAUUUAUCGCCGAAGGAUCGGCCCGCGUUGGAUUAGGUAGUUGGUGGGGUAAUGGCCUACCAAGCCGACGAUCCAUAGCUGGUUUGAGAGGAUGACCAGCCACACUGGGAUUGAGACACGGCCCAGACUCCUACGGGAGGCAGCAGUGGGAAUCUUAAAGAAUGGGCGCAAGCCUGAUCUAUCCAUGCCGCGUGAUAAAGGGAGGCCUUAGGGUUGUAAAGCUCUUCAGGGGGAAGAUAAUG